UCUACAUAAACUAAUCAUAAAAAACAUUCUGUAAUUAAUUGAAAUUAUCGACAGUUAAUUUUUGGAAAAAUGUUUAAACAACUUUGUGCCUUACUCCUAAUUACGGUUUUAGUGGUUGAGUUUCACACAGUAAAAUGUGGAAUUUUACAUCGAGGUAAUUGUGAAUUUCUGUCGCUUGAUGGCAGAAGAUGUGUGGAAACAUUCACAAAAAAUGACUUAAAUAGAAAGUUUGUUCAAAUAACCCCAUUUAAAAAGCUGGAACCUAGUAAUUUUAAAAAUGAUGGUAAAAAGAAUACAGCCGCAUUUAAAAAGACGAAUGUUAAAAAUGCAGAUAAUUCAUAUGUUUUACCCUGGUAUAGUACAAUUAGUAACUGGUUUUCUUAAAUCGGACACCAAUUAAAUGUUAUGAAAUGUUUUUACACGUCAUUUUCAACAAAAUUCUUUAUGUAAACUUUAUAAAACUGUGUAAAUAAGAAUGAAAUUUAAAACAAAAAUCGCUUAAUAAAAUUUUAGAAAAAUCUAAGCUGAACCCAAAAGUUAAUAAA